rnacentral:rRNA from 1 species
CCUACGUGAGGCAGCAGUGGGGAAUAUUGCACAAUGGGGGCAACCCUGAUGCAGCAACGCCGCGUGAUGGAAGACGGCCUUCGGGUUGUAAAGUUCUGUUCUCGGGGAAGAAUAAUGACGGUAGCUAAGGAGUAAGCCACGGCUAACUACGUGCCAGCAGCCGCGGUAAUACGUAGGGAGCAAGCGUUGUCCGGAAUUACUGGGUGUAAAGGGAGCGUAGGCGGGAAGGCAAGUCAGCUGUGAAAUCUGCGGGCUUAACUUGCAAACUGCAUUUGAAACUGGUUGUCUUGAGUGAAGUAGAGGCUGGCGGAAUUCCGAGUGUAGCGGUGAAAUGCGUAGAUAUUCGGAGGAACACCAGUGGCGAAGGCGGCCAGCUGGACUUUAACUGACGCUGAGGCUCGAAAGUGUGGGGAGCAAACAGGAUUAGAUACCCCAGUAGUC